CUCUGCCUGACAUUGGGGCCAUUCAUCAGCAGGACAUUCAAAGACAAACAGGAAGGGCAUUUAGAAGAAAGAAUGAGAAUCAGGACACCUCCAAUUACCCAGCCAUUUACAAAGAUUCUUUGCAACCAGGGGCUUGUCUACCUGGUGGGCAGAGGAAGAAAACUUUGCAUUUGGCUGUUUGGAUACUCCCAAGUAACACAUCCAGCCAUUUGUAUCUGUAGAGACACAGGUGUGGAAAAGAUCAGCACUUGGAUUCAAUCUGGGUUGAAGUUUUGCCAGCCACAAUUUCCUCAGCUCUGCCUUGAAAGAGACAGUAUAGUAUAGCAGUUAAAAGCAUGGCCUCUGAAGUCAGAUUGCUGGAGUCUAAAUCCUGGUUCCACUAACUCUUCUGCUGCGUGACCUUGGGCAAGUAAAGCAACCUCUGUGAUUCAGUUGCCUCAUCUGUAAAAUGGAG
rnacentral:lncRNA from 1 species